GCUUGCUAGUACUGCAGUACUUCUUACAUGUUCUACUUUUGUUGAAUAGCUGCAAGCUCGUCAUGCUCCCUUAGACGGUAUGGCCAGCGGUAGCGUUGGGGGUCGGGUUGUCCCCUUCCCUCAAAAAUGUGCGAAGGGGGCGAUGGCUGAUCCUCGCGUUAUACUCGUGAACGGGUGCUGCUGGCGGUACCAGGUCGUGUUGGUGGCUAUUGACACUAUUAAUAAUAGUAUGGUUUUCUAUUAGCUUAUUUUGGAAAAAAUAAUAAGACUGUAGUCCUGGCAGGUAUACACCUUGUUUGUGUUGUACAGCUACAACAUAUCCAUCUGCGCAUGUGGGUGGGCACGCCGAUUUUAUGCUUAUAUUAAAAAUACAUUCUUAUUUUAUUAACAGGAGGCUUUAGAUACACUUAAUAGACUGUAAGUAAUGCUUGAGUACUUAGUCUUUAUCCCUCUUAUUAUAAAACGCGGUAUCAAAUAAGUAUCGGCUUUUGUACUACCUUUAAUCCACCUUUAAGUACGACCUUGAAAAAACGUUAUUACAAAACGCAGUUUAUCGCAAGUCCUAUUACUAUCUGUAGUACAAAAGAUAAACCAUCGAGCCCCCUAGUUUAACUGCAGUACUUAGUCGACAAACGUCAAAUUCCGACAUUAUUUACUUUUGAGGUUAUUUGUUUUGUGAUGAAAAAAACGAAAGUGGAUAUAAAUAUGUGUGAUUUGGAAUACUUGGAUGUGUUAGAAUACUAUUGAGAGUGUCCGGGGACCCAACAGAAUGCGUCAUCGACAAAAUCUCUUCAAAUUACCUGACGACAAUUUUCGAUAUAAAUAUCGAUUUACGUUUUUCGAAAUAAUAGUCAAUUGAAUGCAUGAUGAUAAUCCAGGAUGAUCCUAUGAUGCUCAACUGGGCUCGCCAUACAAUUCAAGACUAUUUUGGCGUUUUGCACGCCGUAUCUCUGCCAGUAAUAUGCAAUGUUUGUAAAAGACUGGAAGCUUGCUAAAAUGUACAAAAAUGCCUAGAUGAGAAAGGGAACAAGAUUGUGUGAUGAAGAACAGUGUCCAACAUGUAUCAGUGCAUUUGACUGUAUAAAUAGACAUCGGAAUAAAAUAUAAUUUUCUACUUU